rnacentral:rRNA from 1 species
UACGGAGGGUGCAAGCGUUAUCCGGAUUCACUGGGCUUAAAGGGUGCGUAGGUGGGCAAGUAAGUCAGUGGUGAAAUCUCCGGGCUUAACCCGGAAACUGCCAUUGAUACUAUUUGUCUUGAAUACUGUGGAGGUCAGCGGAAUAUGUCAUGUAGCGGUGAAAUGCUUAGAUAUGACAUAGAACACCAAUGGCGAAGGCAGCUGGCUACACAAAUAUUGACACUGAGGCACGAAAGCGUGGGGAUCAAACAGG